rnacentral:rRNA from 1 species
CACGUAGGGCGCAAGGCGUUGUCCGGAAUUAUUGGGCGUAAAGAGCGCGCAGGCGGUCGUGCAAGUCGCGUGUGAAAGCCCCCCGGCUCAACUGGGGAGGGUCACGCGAUACUGUUCGACUCGAAGGCAGGAGAGGGAAGCAGAAUUCCCGGUGUAGUGGUGAAAUGCGUAGAUAUCGGGAGGAAUACCAGUGGCGAAGGCGGCUUCCUGGCCUGUUCUUGACGCUGAGGCGCGAAAGCUAGGGUAGCAAACGGG